CAAAGGGCUAGGGGCUUCAGACACCAGGGAACGAGGUGGGGACUGAUUAUAUUGCCAAAGGGUUCAACUUCUUUAAACAACCCCCAGUUUCCCUGACCCUCACAGAAGCCGGACAGGGCGGGGAAAGGGGUGAGGGUCUUUUCCAAAGGGUACUGACCUCUUCCCAAAGUCUCCCCAAGCUCGCCAAUCCACCAAAAGUACCCAGCUUUUUAGUUCAGCUUUUAAAAAAUAACCACAAUCAUUUUAAAUGUCUACAAAACGUAACUUUCGUCCCCUCCCUCCCCAUCUCCCAAGUCAACAGUGUGGGAUUCGGGGAGGGAGAGCGAGCUAAACGGACUAGUUCACAGUCCAGCUCCCUACUUUCCCCCGGCCGCCAGGGUGCCUGCAACUACACGCAUGCGCUGCAUGACGCGCCCCCCACACGCAUGUCACGCCCCUCCAGCGCUCCGGGAACGCACGGAAACGGGGCAGGGGGCGGGGCGAUUGGGGAGGAAUGAAUGGCUGGGGGUUUUCCAGAGCUCAGCGGCUCCCCCUCCCCAACACACACACAGCAAUAAGUUUCUC
rnacentral:lncRNA from 1 species